GCCUGGGUGGCUCAGUCGGUUAAGCGUCUGACUUCGGCUCAGGUCAUGAUCUCGCGGUCCGUGAGUUCGAGCCCCGCAUCGGGCU
rnacentral:tRNA from 1 species